GUUAAGCAUCCCACCGGGGGAGUACGCCGGCAAGAGUAAAACUCAAAGGAAUUGACGGGGGCCCGCCCAAGCGGAGGAACAUGUGGUUUAAUUCGAUGAUACGCAAGGAACCUUCCCGGGGCUUGAAUCGCCCAUGACGGAUCCAAAGAUGGUGACCUCCUUCGGGACAACAGUGGAGGUGGUGCAUGGUUGGCGUCACCUCGUGCCGUGACGUGAGGGGUUAAAUGCCGUAACGAGCGCAACCCCU
rnacentral:rRNA from 1 species